rnacentral:rRNA from 1 species
AGAAUCAACGCUGGCGGCGUGCCUAACACAUGCAAGUCGAACGAGAAAGUGGAGCAAUCCAUGAGUAAAGUGGCGACCGGGUGAGUAACACGUGACUAACCUACCUUCGAGUGGGGGAUAACAUCGGGAAACCGAUGCUAAUACCGCAUAACAUCGCAAGAUCAAAGCAGCAAUGCGCUUGAAGAGGGGGUCGCGGCUGAUUAGCUAGUUGGCGGGUAAUGGCCCACAAGGCGAAGAUCGGUA